ACCUAUGGGUCAGGCGCCGCGGGAGAGCCUUGCGCUCUGCCGUGGUCCAAUGCCGCGGUCUUCCAACCUGCGGUUGCCUGGCCCACCAGG
rnacentral:antisense_RNA from 1 species